GUGCCAGCAGCCGCGGUAAUACGGGAGUGGCAAGCGUUAUCCGGAAUUAUUGGGCGUAAAGCGUCCGCAGGCGGCCUCGUAAGUCUGUCGUUAAAGCGUGGAGCUUAACUCCAUUUCAGCGAUGGAAACUGUGAGGCUAGAGUGUGGUAGGGGCAGAGGGAAUUCCCGGUGUAGCGGUGAAAUGCGUAGAUAUCGGGAAGAACACCAGUGGCGAAGGCGCUCUGCUGGGCCAUAACUGACGCUCAUGGACGAAAGCCAGGGGAGCGAAAGGGAUUAGAUACCCCUGUAGUCCUGGCCGUAAACGAUGAACACUAGGUGUCGGGGGAAUCGACCCCCUCGGUGUCGUAGCCAACGCGUUAAGUGUUCCGCCUGGGGAGUACGCACGCAAGUGUGAAACUCAAAGGAAUUGACGGGGGCCCGCACAAGCGGUGGAGUAUGUGGUUUAAUUCGAUGCAACGCGCAGAACCUUACC
rnacentral:rRNA from 1 species